GACAUCCUUGGCAUAUGAGGCUUGUGCCUGCGACACGCUCUCUGACUAUAGCCACAAUGAGGGAGGAGACAUACACACACAUACACAAACACACACUCACAUAUUUAUAUUUGUUUUGUGGGAAAAUAAGGGAUUAUAAUAAGCUAUAACCACCACAAAUACUAUUAGUGCAUCAGUGAUGAUAACUCACUUGUAGAUGUGACAAAAAAUAAGAUAGGCUGUUAUUAGGUUCAAUUCUUUAUGUAUAGCCUGCAAUUUCACCUUUUUUCUCUUCUUGCUGUAGGAAAGCCUGUCACGGGGAAAGAAGGCACAGUGUUUACAGGGAGUCUGCUGAAUUUAUAUCUGUAUAUGAAUGCAAAAACCCAUUACCCCAGUCUAAUUCUAAGACAUCAGACAAACCCCAACUGAGGCACAUUCUACAAAAUAUCUCAUUGGUAUUCCUCAAAACUGCCAAGAUCAUCAAAAGCAAGGGAAGUCUGAGAAAUCUCACAGCCCACAGGAACCUAAAGAGACAUUACAACCAAAUGCAAUGUGAUGUCUUGGAUGGGAUCUUGAAAUGGAAAAAGUACAUGAGGAAAUCUGAAUAAACUAUAAAUUUUAAUUAAUAACAAUGUGUCAAUAUUAGUUCAUUUAUUAUAACAAAUGUACCCUACUAAUGUAGAAUGUUAGCAAUCGGGGAAUUGGGGUACCAAGUGCUGAGGAAACUCUGUGUUAUCUUCACAAUCUUUCUGGGGUUCUAAAACUGUUCUAAAAACUGAAGUUUAUUUCAAAAAAAACCCUGUCCAGAUUAUGUGUUUCUAAUUAAGUCAUUUGACUCGUUCACGCCUGAGUGGAGUUGCUUUGUCAUUUUGAAACCGA
rnacentral:lncRNA from 1 species